GGACAAUGGUUGAUUUCGAUAGAUCCUAGGAACCACGGACUCUUAAUCCGUAGGUCGAGUGUUCGAGUCACUCACGCCCCACCA
rnacentral:tRNA from 1 species